UUUCCAGACAACAGUGACAUCAUGACAGCACUUUUUAAUCGUCACAAUUAAACUUGUCUUCUUGGUUAUCGAAAUAAAUCUUUAUUAUUAUUUUAUUAUAUAUAUAUAUAUUUCCUUGAGGCAACAGCGGGCACUGCUCAGAGAUCAGAGAGUAUUGGCAAAUCAGAAGGGCUACACUAUCCAAUUUUUGUUAUGUUAAAGUUUGUGAAUCUUAUCGUCUGCAAAGUCGGGGGGUGUAUUUUGGAGACAUCGUGGCAAUGAUUACAUCAACUGGUAAGUUAUAACGUCAGUUAGCCCAAGUUAAUGAAUCAGAGAAGCAUUAUAAUUCUUUGCUGCCUCUUUAUCGCAGGAUAUUUCAGAAAUACAUUGCAUAACAGCAAGCUAACAUUAAAAUAGAAAAGAAAAGCGAUUUAAUAAACACCGUUGUACGUCUUUUGUAUUUUAUUUUCAGAUUGUGCUCAUUUGUCAUGUCAUCUGCAAUGGAGGUGUAUUGGAGUCUUUUCUUGUGAUUGCUAACAACAGGAGGUUUCUCCAAGCAAAAACACGGAUGCUGAUUAUGAGGGACUCAUCAUGUGGCCAGUGGUCCAUUUUAUUGAAAUGCAGUAUUAGGUAACCGAAAAUAUUUGCAUCUACCAGAUGUGCUGCAUAAGGUACACAUUUCAUUGAGUUAAGUUAUCCAAACAGUAGCCUAUUUUCAAGUACUUCCCUUUUUUUUUUUUUUUUUUUUUUUUUUUUUUUUUUUUUUUAUAUAUAGAAAAAGCAAGCUCAGAUUUUAGACACAAAUGUCACAAACCCCCCAAUACAGUAUAACUGCACAUUUUAGAGUGGCCUUUUAUCGUGGCCAGCCUAAGGCACACCUGUGCAAUAAUAACGCUGUCUAAUCAGCAUCUUGAUAUGCCACACCUGUGAGGUGGAUGGAGUAUCUCGACAAAUGAGAAGUGCUCACUAACACAGAUUUAGACAGAUUUGUGAAAAAUAUUUGAGAGAAAUAGGCCUUUUGUGUACAUAGAAAAAGUCUUAGAUCUUUGAGUUCAUCUCAUGAAAAAUGGGGGCAAAAACAAAAGUGUUGUGUUUAUAAUUUUGUUCAGUGUAUAAACAAGUGUACAGUAUAAAGGUGAGUGACGUCAGAAAAAGAAAAAGAAAACAUACCUUGGUUUCCGCUCUCUGCUUUGGAAAAUGCUAUCAGCUCGCAAAAGUUUUUUUUUUCCUCCCUGCUGAUAGGUGCCCAAACUAGCUCUUCUGAUUGGC
ensembl:lncRNA